rnacentral:lncRNA from 1 species
CUCUGGCCUGGACCAAGAGAAUGCAGAAAUGGCUUCCAUUCUGUGAGCUGUGACUUCUAACGUGGCCACAUAGCUGGUGGAGAGGUGACAACCUUCAUCUCCAAGGAUCCCCUGCACUGCUUGCUUUAUGCCCAGAGCAACCUCAUGCUGACAAGGACUGCACAGUUUUGAACACCCAUGCUCCAAUCAAAAGAAACCAAUUUGUG